GGCGAGUGAAGAGGGAAGAGCCCAAGAUUGAAAGCUGGCGUCUUCGACGUCCGCAUUGUAAUCUCAAGAAGCGUUUUCCGCUUCGGACCAUGCCUAAGUCCCUUGGAAAAGGGCAUCAUAGAGGGUGAUAAUCCCGUACAUGGCAUGGAGCGCCCGAAGCUUUGUGAUACGUUUUCUAAGAGUCGAGUUGUUUGGGAAUGCAGCUCAAAAUGGGUGGUAAAUGCCAUCUAAGGCUAAAUAUUGGGGAGAGACCGAUAGCGAACAAGUACAGUGAUGGAAAGAUGAAAAGAACUUUGAAAAGAGAGUUAAACAGUACGUGAAAUUGCCAAAAGGGAAGGGUAGGAGGUCAGAGAUGCGUCUUGGAAUUCAGCCUUGCUUUUUGCUUGGUGUUUUUUCCAAGUUUGCAGGCCAACGUCGGUUUUGGGCACUGGAGAAGGGUGGAAGGAACGUGGCACCCCUCGGGGUGUGUUAUAGCCUUCCACUG
rnacentral:rRNA from 1 species